AGGUGAGACGCCCGGUCCCAUUCCGAACCCGGAAGCUAAGGCCUGGCACGGCGAUGGUACUGCACCCGACAGGGUGUGGGAGAGUAGCACGCCGCCGCAC
rnacentral:rRNA from 1 species